ACUCAAAUGAAUUGACGGGGACCCACACAAGCGGUGGAACAUGGGGUUUAAUUCGAUGGUAAACGAAGAACCUCACCCAGGCUUGACAUCUCGGGAAGGUCCUAGAAACAGGACUGUGCCGCAAGGAACCCGAAGACAGGCGCUGCACGGUCGUCGUCAGCUCGUGCCUUGAGGUGUACUGUUAAGUCAGCGAACGAGCGCAACCCUCAUCUUAUGUUGUUUUUUCAUAAGAGACUGCCGCCUCCAAGGCGGAGGAAGGUGGGGAUGACGUCAGAUCAGCGUGGCCUUUAUGCCUGGGGCUACACCCAUGUUACAAUGGCCGGUACAGCGGGCAGCGAAUCCGCAAGGAAGAGCAAAUCCCCCAAAACCGGUCUCAGUUCGGAUUGACGGCUGCAACCCGCCGUCAUGAAGUUGGAAUCGCUAGUAACCGUAGGUCAGCGAUACUACGGUGAAUAUGUUCCUGGGUCUUGCACACACCGCCCGU
rnacentral:rRNA from 1 species